AUUGAACGCUGGCGGCAGGCCUAACACAUGCAAGUCGAGCGGCAGCGGGAAAGUAGCUUGCUACUUUUGCCGGCGAGCGGCGGACGGGUGAGUAAUGCCUGGGAAAUUGCCCAGUCGAGGGGGAUAACAGUUGGAAACGACUGCUAAUACCGCAUACGCCCUACGGGGGAAAGCAGGGGACCUUCGGGCCUUGCGCGAUUGGAUAUGCCCAGGUGGGAUUAGCUAGUUGGUGAGGUAAUGGCUCACCAAGGCGACGAUCCCUAGCUGGUCUGAGAGGAUGAUCAGCCACACUGGAACUGAGACACGGUCCAGACUCCUACGGGAGGCAGCAGUGGGGAAUAUCGCACAAUGGGGGAAACCCUGAUGCAGCCAUGCCGCGUGUGUGAAGAAGGCCUUCGGGUUGUAAAGCACUUUCAGCGAGGAGGAAAGGUUGAUGCCUAAUACGUAUCAACUGUGACGUUACUCGCAGAAGAAGCACCGGCUAACUACGUGCCAGCAGCCGCCGUAAUAC
rnacentral:rRNA from 1 species